UGGGGAAUUUUGGACAAUGGGGGAAACCCUGAUCCAGCCAUCCCGCGUGUGCGAUGAAGGCCUUCGGGUUGUAAAGCACUUUUGGCAGGCAAGAAACGUCAUGGGUUAAUACCCCGUGACACUGACGGUACCUGCAGAAUAAGCACCGGCUAACUACGUCCCAGCAGCCGCGGUAUUACGUAGGGUGCAAGCGUUAAUCGGAAUUAGUGGGAGUAAGGCGUGCGCAGGCGGUUCGGAAAGAAAGAAGUGAAAUCCAAGAGCUCAACUUUGGAACUGCAUUUUUAACUACCGGGCUAGAGUGUGUCAGAGGGAGGUGGAAUGGAGCGUGUAGCAGUGAAAUGCGUAGAUAUGCGGAGGAACACCGAUAGCGAAGGCAGCCUCCUGGGAUAACACUGACGCUCAUGCACGAAAGCGUGGGGAGCAAACAGG
rnacentral:rRNA from 1 species